rnacentral:rRNA from 1 species
GAUGAACGCUGACAGAAUGCUUAACACAUGCAAGUCAUUGGCGAAGCUGCGCUUGCGCAGUCUAGCCAAGGCGGACGGGUGAGUAACGCGUAAGGAACUUGCCCUGCAGACAGGGAUAACAGACGGAAACGACUGAUAACACCUGGUAUUGUCAGGCUGGCGCAUGCCGGCCUGAUGAAAGGAGACGCUGCAGGAGAGCCUUGCGUCCUAUUAGCUAGUUGGUGGGGUAACGGCCCACCAAGGCGAUGAUAGGUAGCCGGCCUGAGAGGGUGAACGGCCACAAGGGGACUGAGAUACGGCCCUGACUCCUACGGGAGGCAGCAGUGGGGAAUAGUGGACAAUGGGGGCAACCCUGAUCCAGAAAUUCUGUGUGCACGAAGAAGGUUUUCGGAGUGUAAAGUGCUUUCAGCAGGGAAGAAGAAAGUGACGGUACCUGCAGAAGAAGCGACGGCUAAAUACGUG